AAAAAAAAAAAAAGGAAAAAAACCAAUUAGCACUAAAAUGAAAAAUUUGACUGCUCCAAUGAAACAUCAAAUAGCUUUGCUCCUCAAGGACAAAGAAAUUAAUGAAAUCAUCUCGGUAUAGAAAGCAAUCCCAAAUUUAGGAAUAUGGUAAAGUGAUGCUUGAUGUAGACGUAACAUCUUGAAGAACUAGAGUAGUCAUUUGUAUCUGUUUGGAAACCUUUAAAUGCAUGACUUCUAUUCAUUUUAAUUCUAUUUGCUCAAGUCUCAAGUUUGGAAACCUCUGUAAGUGAUAGAAUUCAAUUCUUGAGGGGCUAAAAAGUGGCAUUUUGCAAGAAUUCAGUUCUUUGGUUUAGUAGUGGCACGGCACAUUAUUGAAAAACCAAAAAUACCUUUGAAACCAACUCUAUUAUCUUGAGGAUAGGGUAAUAUAGGAAACUGCUUGAAUUCAGUUCACUGUUCAAUUAUUCCAAAUACUAAAAUUCAAUUGAAUUAUGCCAUUUUAAAAGUUAUUCCAAGUAUGUGAAAAUUCUAUCAAAAAAAUCAAUUGAAGAGGGUGUAUGUUCUCAUUUAGACAUACUUGCAAGCACCCAAAUAUAUCCAUAACAAUAUGGUACACGUGCAGAUAAAUAUGUUUUGA
rnacentral:misc_RNA from 1 species